rnacentral:lncRNA from 1 species
UCAAACUCCACUUAACUUUUUUCAUAUCUCUAGUGUGUCACACACGCUAAAUAAUUACCAACCUUACGUGGCCUUUUAAUUACCAUGCAAUUCAAAAUAACUUUGCCUAUAUAAUGGGGGAGGGGAGGCAUGCCAUCAUUCACAGGCAAGAGUCAAGUGCAGAUGGCGAACAAUUUUCCGACUGGUGAUGCCCGUCAGCCUCCGCAGAAUAUUGGGGUGGUCCCUGUGAUACUGAUCGAGAAGCAGAAAAGAGGCGGCACGUUGGAUUUAUGUGACAAUGAAAUUACCGCAACCCAUGCCGACGAAGUCGGGAUGUUCAACUUUAACAACAUGACUGAUCACACCGGCCAAGGCGGCGGAGGAUGCACGACCGUCACCAAGAGUAGUCGCAACAUUAGCGGCAAUAAAAUUACCGCACAAGGAGGUAAGGGUGUUGGGUUCGGUAACUUUGACAACUGUACACUCCACAAGAAUUCGAAUGACGAAGACGAUGCAGCAGCUGGCGGGAAGAAGAAGUCACCGGCUUGAAAAUAAUAAAUUAAAGUUAACAUUACUUAAAGCAUUUGGAGAAGGACAUUAAUAAAAUAAAAUCGCAAUAUCGAUCUGUUCUUCCAUUCCAUGCUUUAAAGUUGAACUUUUUAUGUAUAAGAGCUGAUACAAAGGCUUGUAGGGCUCUUUUUAUGUAUAAUUAAGAACGUAGAAUUAUUGUUAUUAUCAUUACUAUUAUUACUCAGACUAUAUUAAUUCCAAUGACAAUCCUUUUAAGCAAAUCCGCCUAGAAACGGAAACAGAACAUUGAUAAUGAAAAGAAAAUCCAUUGAGACUUGUCUUCUUUAUUGGGUCAGGAUCAAAUGAACAACUGUUACUUUUCUUCUCGUUCUAAUUGGGUCAAGAUUCAAAUUUGUCUUCUCGUUCCAAAAAUUUGACAAGUUAUUGCUAAAAUAUGAAAAUUAUGAGAGAAUAUUUGUUUGUGGGAAUUUUCUGUGUAUUCUUCUCCUUGUAGGAGGUUAUAUUUAUAUUACAACAAAACCUGAAUGGGCAAGUAAAUAAUAAAUUCCUAAAUCCAUUUACAGUAGGAAAUCACGAAUUAAAGUAAAUCAAUUACAAUUAUAAUAUGAAUUUUUGGUGUGUAAGGAAAAUAAGUCAAUAUCCACAAGUCACGCCAACACUCCCUCUCACGUUGGUGCAUAGAUGUCGUCAAUGCCCAACUGAUCCAGUGAAUUGUGGAAUGCUUUACUGGAAAUUGUCUUUGUCAAAAUAUCCGCCAAUUGAUCCUCGAAUUUCACAAAAGGAAACUGAAACACUUUAGCCUCAAGCUUCUGUUUGAUGAAGUGUUGAUCCACCUCAACAUGUUUAGUACGAUCAUGCUGAACCGGAUUCUGUGCAAUGGCUAUAGUAGCCUUGUUGUCACAAAAGAGAUUCAUUGUGGAUGUAGGUUUAUACCUAAGUUCAGUAAGCAACUUUCUUAACCAAAGAAGUUCACAAAUCCCUUUAGUCAUGCUUCUGAACUCGGCUUCUGCACUGGAUAAAGCUACUACAUUCUAUUUCUUGCUCCUCCAUGUCACCAAAUUACCUCUCGCGAAUGUGAAGUAACCCGAUGUGGAUUUUCUAUAUGUUACAUUACCUGCCCAAUCUGCAUCUGAAUAACCAUCAAUAUUUAGAUGACCAUGCUUUGAGAACAUAAGUCCUUUUCCAGGUGCAGACUUCAAAUAUCUAAGUAUCCGAAGAACUGCAUUCAUGUGGUCUUCACUUGGAGAGUGCAUAAAUUGACUGACAACGCUCACCGCAUAAGCAAUGUCUGGUCGAGUAUGUGACAAAUAGAUCAAUCUUUCCACUAACCUUUGGUAUCUUUCUUUGUUAGUUGGAACUUGAUCCAGAUAUUCUCCAAGAUGAUGAUUCUGAAUAAUAAGAGUGUCCGCAGGUUUGCAAUCUAGCAUUCCUGUGUCUGUCAACAAGUCCAAGACAUAUUUCCUUUGAGAGAGAAAUAUGCCUUGCUGCGAUCGAGCCACCUCAAUUCCCAAGAAAUACUUGAGUCCACCUAGAUCCUUCAUCUCAAACUCAGUAGCCAAAUAGUCUUGUAGCUGUGAUAUUUCCUGUUUAUCAUUCCCAGUAAUAACCAUAUCAUCAACAUAGAUUAUUAAUGAUGUUACCUUCCCUUUCCGAUGUUUCAAGAACAGAGUAUGAUCUGAGUUGCACUGUUUGAAACCAUUGUUCUUCAUUGCCAUAGUGAACCGUCCAAACCAUGCACGUGUUGACUGUUUCAAUCCAUACAAUGCUUUUCGUAACAUGCAAACUGUUCCAGUCUGAAUAAUAUUAGAUCCAGGAGGAAUGUCCAUGUACACCUCCUCCGUGAGUUCGCCAUGUAGAAAAGCAUUCUUUACAUCAAACUGGUGUAGUGGCCAAUCCAAAUUAGCUGCAAGGGAGAAUAAGACUCUGACGGUGUUUAACUACUGGUGCAAAAGUUUCUUCAUAGUCUAUACCAUAGGUCUGUGUGUACCCUUUUGCCACAAGUCUUGCCUUGUAUCGCUCGAUAGAUCCAUCUGCAUUGUGUUUUAUAGUAAACACCCAUCUAUAAACGAUAAUCUUUUUUCCUCGUGGUAUAGUUUUCAAUGUCCAAGUCUGAUUUUUCUCAAGAGCUUUCAUCUCUUCUUUUAUAGCUUGGACCCACUUAGGAUCUUUCAGUGCUUCAGAGACCUUGGUUGGAAUAUGGAUAGCAGACAACUGAUGCACAAAAGUCUUGAGUAGUUCAGACAGCUUAUUAGUGGAAGCAUGAUUUGCAAUUGGAUACUUGGACGUCUUGCCAAUAUCAGGUGAAUAACGGUUUGGUGGCUUCCCACAAUUUUGCCUGAAAGGUAAUUGAUAUCCAAUAGUUUUAUCAUCUAAAUGCAUAAGUCUAGUAGGAGUAUUUACCUCAAAGAUAUUCUCAGGAGAUUGGUCCAUUGGUACUAUUGAAUGAGAGGGGGUUCUUCAUCUUCUUGUUCUGAGUUGUCUGUAGGAGUAUGACACGAAUCAAAAACAGUUUUGCAAGGGUUAGGCGAUCAAUCGUUGUUUAGCAGAGAGCAUUCGCACGUGCCAGACUCGAGAUGAUCAAUUGUUAUUGUUUCUUGGGCAAGGGAAAUCUUCGUGCAUAUAUGAAUAUCUUCAUUUUCCAAGUUGCUCCAAUUGAGCUCUUCACUCGGUAUCUCCCGCUGAAGAGUAGAAUUGGAUGGUGGGUCAUAGAAGAACAUAUCUGAUUCCAGAAAGGUGACAUCCAAAGUGACAUAGGUUCGCCGGGUAGGAGGGUGAUAACAUCAGUAGCCUUUCUGAUGAGUGGCAUAAUCCAAAAAAAACACAACGAAGAGCACAUGGAUCAAGUUUGCUUCGUUGAUUUUUGUGGAGAUGAACGAAGGCCACACAGCCAAAAAUGCGAGGGGUAAGCACCAAAACAGAGGGCAGAGGCCCGUGUUGUGCGAGCACUUGUAAUGGAGUUUUGAAGUUCAAGACUCCAGAUGGCAUGCGGUUGAUAAUGUGGACAGCAGUGACGACAACAUCAUCCCAGUGAUGACGAGGAACAUGGCCACCAAUGAGAAGAGCACGGGCUGUUUCAAAGUGAUGACGAUUCUUCCGUUGGGUAACACCAUUUUGUUGUGGUGUCUGGGGGCAAGUUGUCUCAUGAAUAAUGCCAUGUGUCUGGAAGUAAGUCUGAAAAUCAUGAUUAACAAAUUCUCCACCGUUGUCAGAGUGAAGAAUCUGUAUUCGAGCAUUGAACUAUGUUUCCACCUGUUUGUGAAAGGAUUGGAACAUGGAAAACACUUCAUUCUUAUUUUUCAUCAAAUAAAGUCAUAUCAUCCGUGUAUAAUGAAUACAGAAACCUACGAAUACGAAUGUGACAAACCAACGAAUACCGGAAUGAGUAGAAAUAGGUGAAGGUCCCCAAACAUCAGAAUGAAUUAAAGCAAAAGGAAUAGUACUUUUAUUCAUACUUAAAGGAUAGGAUGCUCUGUGACUCUUGGCUAAAAUGUAAGUGUCACAUUGAAAAUCUGAGUCCUUAAAUACAAAAAACAACUCGGGCAAUAAGUGUCUCAUAUAACCAAAAGAUGAAUGACCCAAACGUCGGUGCCAGAGCCAAAUCUGUCGGUGCUUGUCAUCAGACGGAUGCUUCACAGUAUUAGCACGUCCCAUAUUGAAGUCAUCCACAUAGUACAGCCCCCCUAUUUUAGUACCACGCCCAAUGAUCUCCUUGGUGAGAAUAUCCUGUAGCAAACAAAAAUUGGGAUAAAUUAGGGCACAACAAUUUAGUUGUUCAAUUGCCUGACUCGCAGACAUUAAUUUAUUAGACAAAGAUGAAAUGAGUAGAGUAUUAGAAAGGGACAGAGAAUGUGAAAGGGCAACAGUGCCGACCCCUGUCACAGUAUAGGUAACUCCAUUUGCAUUGGCAAUACUUGUGCGACGGGGUGUAGUGUUGUGCAAAAAAUCAUUCGGAUCAAAGGUCAUAUGGUCAGUGGCGCCAUAAUCAAUUAUCCAACCAGUAGUAUCUCGUAGAUCAGAAGUAUGAAAUGCAUAGCCACAGUUACCUGAGACAUCCGGAAGCGCGGGACUAUCAGUAGGGUCUACCUGCGGGAACAAGGCUAAUGGGGGUUCGGAAAAGACAAGAGCAGCACGGCCGAAAUUACUAGCAAUUUCUCUAAGCUUGCGAGCGCGGAGGUCCUCCCACCAAUCAGGAUAACCAUUCAGCUUAAAACAGGUGUCACGGGUAUGUUUGGGGUUGCCACAGUACGUGCAACCACUUCCAUCAGUCAAAGCCUUGACGAGAAGGUGGGAUGGUUUUAGGAAGUGGCGCACCAGCAGUAGUAGCAUAUGAUUGGAUCUGAAGGUGGGCCACAGUAGAGGAAUUAUGGGGCUGUCCGGCACGAGUAGGGGGACCUAAUCGAGGCACACUGUUGGCCUCUAAGCCAGCGGCAGUGGGUGCAAAUGAACUCAUCAUCACUGCUUGUUGAACAUCUUCACGGCAAACAUAGGCAUAAGCUUGGUCCACAGUAGGGAAUGGAGUCAUGUGAAGAACAUCACUUCGAGCCUUAUCAAGACGUUAACUAGUAGUAUCUAAAAAUAUGUAAACUCGAUCUUCCUGCAAAAUAUCAUUAUAGCGCUUGAUAUCACUUUCAUACUCCAUCAUAUUUGGACGACGGAAAUCAAUUUCUCUCUAUAAGCUUUGGAGAGUAUUGUAAUAGGUUUCAAUGGAGGCACCAGCUUGUUGCAUACGAGAGACUAAUCGUUUCAUAUCAUAAACCUGAGAUGUGUCAGUGCCAUCAUAGUAAGUUGUGGCAAUUGCAUCCCAUACUGCUUUUGCCGUCAGAAAAAGAAUGAAAUUGCCAAUCAAGCUCUGCUCCAGAGAAUUGAUGAGCCAUCCCUUCACAAUAGAGUUCUCGGUGCGCCAGCGAGGAAACAUUGGAGCGGUCGAAGGAGGUUGUGGAAGAUCGCCAUUAAUAUAUCCCAAUUUGUCUUUGCCGGAGAUAUAUAACUCUACAACUUAGGACCAUAGGGUAUAGUUGGUGCCAUCCAACUUUAUGUUGAUGGUGCAACGGAUUUGGCAACUAGUAAGAGAGUGGAAAUGAGAGAAUCUUCACCGGUAAGAGAGUGGAAAUGGAUUUCGUCUGUAAAAGUGUAGAGGGAUUUUUCAAAUUAAAUGUUGAUGGUGCAACAGAUUUGGCAACUAGUUCAGGAAGAGCUGGUGCGAUUGUUAGGGAUCAUCAUGGAAAUUUGGUUGGGGCAGUUGCUAUGCGUGCUCUUAUCUUAGCAUCCAUUCUUGCUAUUGAGUUGUAUGCUCUCAAGAUUGGUAUCCACUCCGCCACCUCUGGUGUGGCUACUCGGCCUCCUUUUGUGUGGCUCUUUUCCUUUACUUUCUUUUUUUCCUUUUGAAGGCCCUUCCUCUUUUGUAUUCUCUUAUGCAGGCCCAUAAAUCUUCUACUUCUUCCUCUGAACUUCCUCCCCCUUUGUUCUACAGCCCUCAUAUGUCCCUCAGCUCUCUUUCCUUUCAUCCCUCCACCAUUCCGUCGACCCGUAUCUCUUCUCCCACAAAAUCUCAAACCCAAAUGUCCUCUAUCCCUAAGAUUUACUUGGUUUGCCACUGAAUUGCUGCAGUUAUUUUACUCCAUCAACCCAUUCUCAUAUCCAUAACUUGAUAGAUCUCCUGAGUAUGACGCAUGGCGGCUUGCUCCCCCAAAUCCACGCUCUGCAGAUCUCUUCUCUUGGUUCCCGGAGCCCUUGCUUUUCUUGUGGCUGCGGCGGCAUAUCUAUUGUGGUGACGGCGGCUUGUUUUGUUUAGGGUUAGAUUUUAGGGUUUAGCUUUUUGUGGGCUUUUGUUGUUUUGGGACUGCUAUUUUGGCACUUUAGUUUUGGUUUUUAUUUUGUUCUGUUUGAGCCUAGGCAGUAGUCUUCUAUUUAGAGACGGACACGCUCCCUUGGGAGGUGUCGAUGCUCUGAUCUCUAGCUCGAUUACUUGUACCUGGUGUCUGUUUGCGUUUAGUUGGCUUUGUUUUUGGGCCGUUGGUAGCCUUGUGGUGUUUUGCUCUUUGUUUGCUGUGUCUGGCUGUUGGUAGUCGUGUUUCACCCUGAUGUACUAUCUUUUGUUUAAUGGAAAGUACAUUUGACGAAAUAAAAGAAAAAAGAUUGGCAUUUCCUUUGCAUUGGAUGCGUCUUUUGUGCCCUUUUUUUUUUUAAUUGAAUCAAACUCUUUGAUGGCAGUCCAAAUGAUUAAUAAUAAGAGUGACUCCAGCGAUCAGGCCAAGUCCGAAGCUGGGGGGAAGCAAAGCAAAAAACUAAAUUCCAGCGGGCCACUUUUGUCCGGGCUGGAGGUGGGACCCAUGAAGACAGGCUGGUUCGAAGGCAGCUCUAGCUUGAGUUCAAGCCCUAAGGGGGAGAUGACGUCAACAUGCGCUGACAUCAGCCCUGCGCUCCACCAACAGCUAGAAGACAUGUGUCGUCGUCUGGGCGCUCCAAUCUCCUGCUCUCCUCCAAUCCAAUGGCUGGGCUUUUUUUGCUCUAAAAUUAUGAAAAAAAAUUCAAAUUUUUUUUAAAAAAUACCAAAAAAUUAUGGAAUUUUUUUCUAUAAAUACCUACCAAUACUCUUCACUUUCAACACUAAAUCCUCAUACAUUUUAUUAUACUUCUACUAUUAUUUGGGCUUUUUUUUUUCUAUAAAAUAAUGAAAAAAAUACCAAAAAAUUCUGGAAUUUUUUUUUAUAAAUACCUACCAAUACUCUUAACUUUCAACACUAAAUCCUCGUACGUUUUCUUCUACUUCUACUAUUAUUCACUUUUUACUCAACAUUUUAUUCACUUUUAAAUUGUAUUUUUAUUUAUCAUCUUAUCUGAAAAUUUUAUCCGAUUGAGAUAUGAAUUUUAUAAUAAAUGUUGACACGUACGAACCCAAAAAUUUUAUUCGAAAAUAUUAUCCAAAUUAAUUGUUUAGAUAAACAAAUUUGUGAAAAAAAAAACAAAAAAAUGAAUAGUAUUUGCCCUUUGCCAUGGCAACGGAACAGGUGGAACCACACAUUGCUUUUUACAAAGGCAGCCACUAUUCACGUGAAUAGUAGCUGCCUUAGUCCUCCAUUUGCCAUGACAAAGGACAAAUGGGUGGAGUUGCUCUAAGGGGGAGUGCUUGGCGGCAUGGGUGUUGGUGGAUGAGGUUCGUCGUCUCAUUGCUAUUCAGUAUGUUUCUCGUAGUGCUAAUGGUGCUGCACAUCGGAUAGCUCGAUUUACUCUCUGUGAUAAUGGCCUAUCGUUCUAGAUGGAGGUCUCCUCUUUGGCUAAUGGAUUUUGUCCCACAUGAUUGGCCGGAUCAAAUUGUUUUUUGCUUAUGAAUUAAGUUUUAAUUCUAGCAGGUGUGGUAGUCUAUUUCCUACCCUAAAGUUUUAUCCCAUGUAGUUUUCUUUGGAAAAGUUUACACGAGGCAACUUCUUACAUGCCGACUUUCAGUGUUUUGCUGUUGAGUUGAAUGACUUAUUCCUCGAACCCUCUCUUAUCAACCCAAACAACCUCACAACGUCACAACCACUGCUUGCAGGCAAUCCUCUCCUCUCUUACCACUUCCGUCAAUUUCCGUCUACAAAACCAUUAAGUGUGCUUAUGUGGCAUGGGCAUUUUAGUAAUUUUAAAAAAAAUUAGUCUGUUUUUUUAUAUUUAAUUUGGAUUUUAAAGUUUUUUAAUAGUUAAAAUUACUAAAAUGACCAUGUCAUGUCAACACACUUAACGAUUUUGUGGACGGAAGUGCUAAAGUGAGAAAAUUUCAGCAAUUUUUAGAAAUUCUAGGUUUAAGUGAAAAAAUUUCAAUUUUUCAUGAGAUAAAGUGAGAUCGAGAAUUCGUUUUAAAGAAUAACAGUAAUUAAGCCAAGAUAAAUCCCUACUAUUUCAUUUAUGUUGACCGGGGCUAAAAAAAGGAACAAAAUUACAUCAAAACACAACGAUAUCCUCAACCACACAAUUUUUCCACAUGAGAGUGAAUUGUUUUUUGGACUAUCAAAAUAAGACAAACCUAAUACCAAAAAACGAUAAACAAAGACGAAGACCAAAACCACCCCACCCAACCUCCCAUCCCAUCCCAUCCCAUCCUAUUGGCGACUGCACCCACCUACUCUCUCUCUCUCUCUCUCUCUCUCUCUCUGAGCAUUAUUGAAGAAUAAUUGUGUGGAGGAGAACACCGGAUAUCAACUUGAGAUAUAUACUUGAGAGACUACAUUGACCCCCAAGUAAGGUGGAAAAAAAUGUCUACAGGCCACCUUGUCCUGAAGGGUGGUACAACUAGUCAUCCCAAGCAACCAGUUUCUGAGGAUACUUCUAAGGGCUUUUUAGAUCUAGGUUCACAACGAUUAGUUGUCAUUAAAUUUAGUUUAUGCAUUUUUGGUUUUAGAUGUAGGUCCUUUGACAUUUAUUACUUUUUGUUUUUUUGGUAUUGAUUUUACCCUUUGAUGUAAAUAUGGAAAACACAUUAAAAAUAUAAAUUUAAUGCAUUAUUUCCUUGUAAUUGCAUUUCAGAAUUUAAAUUUUGAAUUAUAUCCUUGAUAAAUCGUCACUACAAGAAAAAAGUCAUUUAACAACUCACAUUGUGCGUUGUGAAAGCGUAUUGACAACACACAGCGCACGUUGUUGAAGCCGAUGUCAUUAAAAGCUCCAUGACUUUCAAUGAUGCGCUUUGCAUGUUGUCCUUGAUUUGAUCGCGUGUUGUAAACACUAGUAAUGGCAACGUGCGCAUGUUGUGAAAGUAUAGAACAACAACAUAUUAUGCGUGUUGUUGUAUGUCUGAUUGACAAUGUUCAUGCGUGCGUUGUUGUUUUACAUUUCAACAACACUCUUUGCACGUUGUGAUAUUAAAUAUUAUUACUUUUAAUAUUAUUUUUAGAAUUGCUUUAUAACAAUACAAUCUAUCUAAGUAUAACUAUUUUCUUCCUUUUCAACCAUAAGAUAGCCCGGAAUAGAGAGUUUUCAUUAAGAAAAAAAUAGCUCCAUACAUAUUAGAAAGAUUAACAAAUCCAUUGUCAAGUUACAUUUGUCCAAAUGGAAAUUAAGGGAAAUUGUACUACCAGAGUAAUUAAACUUCAACAUUUUGUUAAGCAUGGUCUAGCAAACUGAUUAGUUACAUUUCAAAGUCUUGAAGCACUUGAAGAGAUCCAAGAACCGAGCAUCCAAGCAAGAAUGGUGCACCUAUGGAAACUCACUUGAUUGUGAUUUUGCUCCUGUGUCAUUAUCUGGUAAAAAAUUCCGGAAGGCUAUGAGCAAAUAAAAAAAAUAGACAUAACCAAAAUAAUAAAAUAAAUAAUAACAAAUUAUUCCAAUUACUAAGAAGUCUACUGUCAAAAGAAAUACUUGCAUAACCUAUAAUGUAUCUCCAUGAAAAGCUAUGAAUAUAUAUAUAUAAUUCUUUUCAGAGAUUUUACUGCACAUAUCUAUUCUAGUACAAACUAGCUAUUAGCAUGCAACUAUGGGCAACAUUUUGCCAAGUCAAGGUGAGAUUAUGCCAAAAACUGUAAGAUAUUCACUUUACUACAAAGUAACACUAUAUACAAGUACCGCACCAUGCACCUGAUAAACGGACCAACCCCCAUUACACUACCAUAAUUCUUCUUUACAAUCUAAUUUCAAAAUACAUCUUUCCCACUGCCUAUUAUCACCUAAUUUAAAACAAAUUGUAACCCAACCAACCAAGUGGUAUCCACAAUCGCCUUGACCAUUCCAUUCAAAGAAAUGGUGGAUUUUGUAAAACAGUUUUUAAGCUACAAGUGAAGGGCCAGUAAAUGAAGACAUUAACAGAACAUUUUAACAUACAAAUACAAUCAAGAUUUCAGGACAUUGUAAUAGACGGAUGUAAUCAGGGUAAGUAGGCAACUAAAUCUCAGAGAGUGACUCAACAAAGAGAUCAUAUAUAACAACCUCAAUAGAAGUGCAAGGAAUCCAACAAUGAUAAUGAAAAAAUUAAUCACACCAAAAUGCACAGCAUGCUCCAUCUGCUUCAGUCACUAAAUUCAAAUUUCCUCAAGAUUUUCCCCACAAAAUGACAUCUAUGUGAACCCAUAAACUAGACACAAUAAAGGAUGAACAAAAACAUUAAAGAAUGAACAUUGCACUAGAGUUAGCAGCUGCAAACAUAAACUAUAAUCUAGAGUGCUUAAGCAGAAAAAUCACAUAGACUGAAUUGAUUGAAAGUCUUGUGUUUACGAUAUUGUUGACCUUAUUCUUGUGGAGGGCUUUGAUGGGUCUACAUAGAGCUGAAUAGCUGACAAAUAAGGAACAUAGUACAUAACAGAGUCACUCCCAUUUUGUGACCCAUGCACCGUACGCACUCCAGUCCUUGAAAGACUCCCAUAAAUCUCCAUGUACAAAGUAGGGAUGUAACUCUGGCUCAUGAGUCCUCCAUCUCCUCACGCUUGUCUAUCCAUCACCAAAAUGGGACCUCAUGAGAAAAGCAUGUAUAAUUACAGUAACAAUAAAUAUUAUACCAGGUGAAAAACUUGAAAACCCAAUAUGUAUAAUUCUUCAAGAAGAAAACUUUAACUAAAGUUAGAAAGACAAGUUGUAUUGAGCUCAGUUUGGAGUGUUUAGAAGUGAUAAAGAUAACCCAAUACUCAUAGUACUUUCUCAUCUUCCUCUGAUUUUAAAAAUAAAUAGUAUACAUGUACACAUACAUGUCUCUUCUUCAGUUAGACUCUCAUAGUACUUUAUAAAUCUCUCCUCUGAAGGUGAAAUAACACACAAGAUUCAACAAAAUGACAAGACAAAAAAAAACAUAGAAAAUACAAAGAACAGAAAAUAAAUAAAUAAAUAAACCCAGGAGAUUUGUACCAUUCCAAAACCCUUUAUCUGUUAAUGCCUUUGUAAAAAUUUACAAUUUAGGUCAUACACAAGAAUUCAUAUAAAGCAAAUCGAAGAUAUAAAUUGUCACAUCCCGGGAUCAACUCCGCCGUAGCACGAUAUUGUCCGCUUUGGGCCCCCCUCUCUGCCCUCACGGUUUUGUUUCUGGGAACUCACGAGCAACUUCCCAGUGGAUCACCUAUCCUGGGAUUGCUCUAGCCCCUAAGUCGCUUAACUUCGAAGUUCCUACGACUCUGAAGCCAGUGAGCUCCCAAAAGGCCUCGUGCUAGAUGGAUGCGGGGUGCACAUAUAAGGCACAUCACCCCCUCUACGUUGGUUGAUGUGGGAUCUUACAAUCCACCUUCCUCAAGAGCCGAACGUCCUCAUCGGCACACUCGCACCACACGGCAGAGUGGCUUUGAUACCAAAUUGUCACAUCCCGGGAUCGGCUCUGUCGUAGUACGAUAUUAUCCGCUUUGGGCCCCUCUCUCUGCCCUCACGGUUUUGUUUCUGGGAGCUCACGAGUAACUUCCCAGUGGGUCACCCAUCCUGGAAUUGCUCUGGCCCCCAACUCGCUUAACUUCGGAGUUCCUACGACUCCGAAGCCAGUGAGCUCCUAAAAGGCCUCGUGCUAGAUGGAUGCGGGUGUGCACAUAUAAGGCACAUCACCCCCUCUCCGUUGGUUGAUGUGGGAUCUUACAUAAAUAAGCUACAAAUCAAACAUAACCCAAAUGAAAAGUAAUCCCUAAUCUUCAGUAACAAGGACAAAAAGGGAACUCAAUUACCCGAUUGCAGAUAUCGAAGAUGAGCAACUCCAAAUCAGAGCGAGACAAUGGUCUGCAUCUGUGCAGUGGCGUGUGACAUCGAGUAGGCGGCGAGGGCGGUCCUCAGAUGCCCAGCCCUAAAAGUUACUGAUGAGAGAGAGACACAGAGAGAGAGAGAGAGAGAGAGAGAGAGAGAGAGAGAGAGAGAGAGAGAGAGAGAGAGAGCUUCAAGCUUCUGCCAUGAAGGCUUGAGGGAUGGUUAGAGUUUAGAUUUCGUGGGUCUUUGAUGGAAUUUUGGGUUGUGACGAUAGAGAGAGUUUUUAGAAGAUGUACAGAGCUUGUCAAAUAUUUAGAACAUUUCAGAUUUUGAAAGAGAGGGAGUUUCUUUUUUUUGGUCGAAUGAAAGGGAGUUUUUCCAGCAAAAAAAUUGGCUCUUUUUUUAAUAUUAAUUUUUGGCCCUUUUUUUUAUUAUAGGAAAGUGAUAUAGUUUUGACAACAUGCGAUGCGUGUUGUUGAACUAAAUAUACAACAACACGCCAAGGUGCGUUGUCAAAAAUAUCUCUAAAUUUCGUUUCAACAACGUGCCGUAAAUACACGUUGUUAAACUCAAUGUACUACAACACACUAUUGCAGCAUGUUAUGAAAGCCCACCCUCCACAACGCACAACCUAUGCACGUUGUUAAUGACAUGUUGUUGUAGAACAUUUUUCUUGUAGUGCGUGUUACCUAUAAGUUAGGAACAUAAAUUACAAGACUACCUAUAAAUUAGGAACAUAAAUUAGAAGACUACAUAUAAGUCAGAUACAACAUUAGACAAAUAAAAUUUUAUGUUACCUAUAAAAAUUAGAACAUAAAUUACACAACGUCGAAAAUAUGAAGGAAAAAAAACACGUAUAUACCUAUGCAAUAGGACACCGUAAACAAAUGCAUUUUUUCCUUUGUCAAAAUAUUUAGAGUUCGAAGGAGCAUGAUUGUAGGUAAAAAUGUGAUUUUUGAUGGCGGUCCAAAUGAUUAAUAAUAAGGAGGAGCGCUUGACGGCUGAAGGGGCGUUGGUGGAUGAGGUUCGUCGUCUCAUUGCAUCCAAUGAUCGUUUUACUGUUUAGUAUGUUUCUCGUAGUGCUAAUGGUGUUGCACAUCGGAUAGCGUGAUUUACUCUCUGUGAUAAUGGUCUAUCGUUCUAGAUGGAGGUCUUCUCUUUGGCUAAUGGAUUUUGUCCCAUAUGAUUGGGCUGUGUUGAGGCCCAAAAAAGUCCAUGGUUGGGCCCAAAUAAAUUUUCAGCCCAAAUACGAUAAUUUAUUAAACAAAGUCACAUAUCAGAGUACAUGAGGGCCAGUCAUAUACAAGUCACAGCCCACGUACCAUGCUAAACAAAUAAUUUGUCAUGCUAGGAACUGGGGUAAGGCUAUAAAAUACAAGCCCAUGAUAAAAUAAACACCGUGUCCCUCUCUAAGGACAAUAAAAUUAGACCGUGCCAAGCAACAUGCCACACCAAACAGGAAAUUAUUGUUUCACGCCCAACCACGCUACAAGCCUAAGUGGGCCCAAGCCACUCAAAUGCCCGGAGCUUGCUUGAGUGGGUUGUGGUAUGGAUUGUAAUAAGUUGUCAUGAGGCCCAUUAAUGGACCAAGAAAUGGAGGUCUCGAGUUGCUUGAGAGCCUCGGAACCCAUGCCGUUUCUUAGGCCCAAAUAUGUGGGUAAGCAGGAAGGAGAAAAAUAGCCCAUUUGUAAUGACCCAAACCUAAAAUUCAUAUUUAAUUAGUAAUUUAUUAUGCGGAAAGACAAUUUUGCCCUUGGAAUAAAUUAUGAAUCCAAAGUUGACUUUUUGACCGAAAAGGAAUUUGACAAUUCCACAUACGCCGUUGCGUAGAGCACGUUGACACGAGUUCAUAGACACGAAGUGGACUCGAAUCGGAGUUUUAACGAAGAAAAUACGAUUAAAAUAUCACGAAGAGCAAAACGGUAGUUAGGAAAAAUCAGAUUUUUUAUAUAACCUCAGCUUCUCUCCCUCCCUCUCUCUCUCUCUCUCUCUCUCUCUCUCUCUCUCUCUCUCUCUCUCUCUCUCUCUCUCUCUCUCUCUCUCUCUCUCUCUCUCUCCCUCUCCCUCUCCCGCUGUCCUCCAGCCGUCACCUUCCAAGCACCAUAACUCCCUCCACCGACCACCUCUACACCUGCCGUCGGCGCCAACAGAACCAGCUCGGUUCCCUCUUCAAGCCCCGACCACUCUCCGCUGCCAGCCGUCGCUGUAGUCGCCCGAAUCCAUCCAAAAACAAGUCGAUUUUGUCAAAACUUCAAAACGUUCGUUCUCCUUCAAUUCUCCUCCAAAUUUGUCGAGUAAGGUAUGGAUUUCUACCUAUUUUCCAUGCUCUAGCUGAUGGUUGGGUAGGUUUGCGUUGAUUUUCACCGUAGCUAGCUCAUUUUUCAAAUUGGACAUUCGGCCGACUUUCGGCCUCCGUGUUCAGCCACUUCCGGUCAGUUUUUGGGGUUGGUACAAGAACAAAAGUGGUUCCAAAUAUGGUGUUAUACCUAGGAUAAGAGUUUGGAGCCUUGGUUUUGCGAUUUUCCGGCGAUGCGUUAUCGCUUUGGACACCCAUCGCUGCCGGCGUGUGCGGCGGCGCGUGGACGAGGGUGGUGCCAUGACACUGUGUUCUGAUGCGAUCCUUAGGUCGUCACGAGCGAGUAGGAAUUUGCGGAUCUCAAUUUGGAUACCGUUUGAGCCUCGAACGGAUUUUCUAUAUUGUGCGAUUAUCGGGUUCAAUACUGUUGAGCCGUUGGAUCGUAAUCAAUUUUAGAUAUGUUAUUCGAGAUAAUUUUAGAAACGUUUAGGAUACGACGGAUUAUGAAUCGAAGUCCCGGAUAUUCCGAAAACGCGAACCCUAGGGCGAGGGUUUCGAAAUUAUGCGAUUAUAGAAUUGUGAUCGAUCCGACCGUCCGAUUGACACCAAUACCCUCGGGACAUGUGUCAUAGAUAUAUUGGACCUUCUAGCGGCAUCCGGAUCAUAUUGUGAGGUCAUGAACCCGUGGGGUUCCGGAUUGACUUUUUGGACCUUAGCGCUAUUUGAGUCACAAGAUACCGCUAAACUAUCCCACGUGGAAGGAAAGCUGUUAUGGGCAUAGGGAUCACUUUAAAUUGAUGCACGUACUUUUAGGAGCCGGGGGUAGGAUUUUUAAUUUAAUACUAUAUUGUAUUAAUAGAAUAUUAUGGUCAUUGAAUCAGGCACCCGGGCACCAGUUGACCCGCAGGAGGGACCUUCAAGAGGUCCAGCGAGCUCAGACUAUCAGUGAGUGGACUCUUUGUUUUAAUAAAUGAAUUUAAGCAGUUCAGUUUCAGUUAUCAGCUAUUUUAUUCUGUAAAAUAUUUUAUGUUGCAUGCUGUCAAGUGAAAUUUCCUUUAAAGCAUAUAGGAAAAGAUAUUCUCGUUAAUUAUCAGAUAAAUGGCAGCAUAAUUUUAAAGGUUACAGAAAGGUGAUUAUUCAACAGUUUUGCUUCAGAAACUUUAUAUUUUCUUAAACCACCUUGUACCCAGAUAUUAAAUGCUGCCUUCAGAUUAUAUUUGUUGCCUUCGGUUUAGUCAGCAUGCUUGACAGUUUCCCCACGAGUUCCUUGGUACUCGAACUCGUGUGGAGCAAGUAAUGCGGAUAAAGGUGGACUACGGUUCCCUGAAUCCUGCGAGUUGCGGCUCGGACUGACCUCGUGUCACUGAGACCUGCGAGUAUGUGUCACCCAUGGUGAUGCAAGGAAUUGACGGAUAUAAGGAUUUGACGAAAAUAGGGUACACCUAGGUGAUAGUUUAAACUGUUUUCAAAUGUGUAUAGUUAUAUACAUGCAUUGAUUUUCGAAAUACAGAAAAUAAGCUAGUUUGUAUAACUGUUUUUACAGUGGGAUUAGUAUGUUCAUAUGGUAGUUUCUAAGCUUUGUUUUUGGGUCCACUCACCCUUUUUGUUGUUUUGCGCCCCCAGGCAGUAGACGUGCACAGGAAUCCACCACCGGGGCCACUUCCCAUCUUCCACGCCCUUCUUUGAUGUAGGAUUUGUAUUUUGUACAAAGAUUCACUCUUUUGUAAAUUCUUAGUAGUCGCUCUGAUGUUUUGCCCUAGACUGAGCUGUGAACUCUUGGCAUGUGUAUAUAUAUGUAUGUUGGCAGUUGGUUGUAUAUAUAUAUACUUGUUUUGACAGGUGUAAAUGUUUUGGUAUUGAGCCAGUUACAAGGAAAACUCUGUCGGUUUUUCGGUAAAAGUCAACCUUGUUAUUUUUAUCGUGUUUUGUAUAGAAGGUCAAAUAGGUCAUUUGUGCCCGACAUUCGUCAGGUGUCGGACACGCCUAGGGUCUGGUUCGGAUUUCAAAGCGGAAUUAGGAUCGGGUCCUGUCAACUUGGUAUCAGAGCAUUAGGUUUAAUUUCAUGUAGACUUCGCACUUUGUGCAUCCUCGUUUUCCUGAAAAUCUGUUUCUUGUGACAGUAAAGAUGGGCCCUAAGCGUGGUGGUGUCCGUAGAGGGACUAGACAGUCGUCCCGACAGAGGGGACAGGAUCCCCAGCUCGGGCAGGAGGAAGUUCCUGUUCCUACACCGGUACAUGAACCGGUAGAGCAAUCUGUUGUUGGAGGUUCGUCAGGAGCCGUACCUGCUGUGCCUCCUAUGCAGGGACAUUAUAUAAUUUAUACUUUAAACGACGUCAUUUUAAUAUGUAAGUCGUCUAUUAUAAUUUACAACGUUUUCAAUUUCUUAACCCCGACGUGGUUUUUCAGUCGUCUUUAUAUCAAAAUAUUCAAAAUAAAUUUAAAAUUAAUCCGAAAAAUGAAGCGUCAAAAUAAACGGCGUUACGUUCAGUGUUUCCGUCGUGGAAUAUUACAUUUACGUCGGUUCUUGUAGAACUUUCGCCAUGGUUUUUCUUUCGACGUUUUAAAGAGCGCACUCUCUAAAAAUUUUCGCGCGCCCUAAAUUUUUUAGAUUUGCUCUUAUUCUUAUACUUCUAACCCUGAACCCUAAAAUUUUCAGAUUUCGCGCAACAUAACAUUUCGCUCUCUCACUUCUGCUCUAAUUAAAAGUUGCACUCUCCAGGCUCCGUCGAAUCUGUGAGCUCGUCCAACCUGUAAGUACAAACCCUAUCUUCCCCUUGUAAAUUCAUUGAAUGAUAUUAGGUUGUUUUGUUAAAGGGUUUUAGGUAUAUGCUUUGCGAUCUGUUAAUAAUGUGCUUAUAAGUAUGGGUUCAUGGAUUUUCUGUUUAAUGGGUUCAUGGAUUACAUUAUCUAUUAUGUUGAAUUGGGAAUGGAUUUAAUUUUGUCGGAUCUUUUAAUCACCCUAUGUUAUGUUGAAUUGGGAAUGGAUUUAUUGUUUUCAUGCUUGGUUUCAUGUAUAUGUUGGUUUCUUGCUUGGUUUCAUAUAUAUGUUGUGUUCUUAAUGGGUUUUGGGUUCUUGAAAAUAAACUGAGACACGACGCCUUUUUAGGCAUACGACGACGAUUUGUAUUACUUAUACACGACGGUUUUUUCAUAAACCGUCGUUUGUAUUACUUAUAUUAGACGACGUCUGUUGAAAAUCCGUCGUCUAUAUAUGCCAAAUACGUCUGUUUUUGUUUAAAACCCGUCGUCUCUAUUGUGUAUUACUUGCUAUUAGAUCUUUGUAUAAUCUGCUAUAGUGAUGGUUAUUGCCUGUAUUUUCACUUUAUUAUAGAUAAUAGGUUAUAGUGUCGGAGAUGGAUAAGUCAUGGAUGCACUCGGAUAGAAGAUCGAAGGCAUAUGAGUUUGGGGUGGAAGCAUUUUUGAACUUUGCUGUAGAAAAUCUUCUAACUACAACACAUAUCCGUUGUCCAUGUGUUAAAUGUGUUAAUUUGAAGUUGUUUGGGGUUGGAAUUAUAAGGGAUCACUUAUACUUUAAUGGAAUUGACCAAAGCUAUAAGAAUUGGACAUUUCACGGGGAACCUUGGGAAGCAACUACUAAUGCUAGUAGAAAUGUUGAAGAAGAUGAUGGCCAUAGUAGGUACAGUUUUGUGUCCGAAGAAAUUGAUAUGGAUGAUAAUGAUUUUGGUGAUUUUGGUUCCGAUCCGUAUGAGUUUGCCAAUGUGAUUGGGGAUGGAGAUCAACCAGUGUACCCUGGUUGUAGAAAGUACACGAAGUUAUCGGCAUUAGUGAAGUUGUAUAAUUUGAAGGCAAAACAUGGGAUGAGUGAUGUAUGUUUUACAGAAUUAUUGAUACUUCAAGGCGAUUUGCUUCCAGAAGGAAAUACAAUACCAACCUCUAUGUAUGAGGCUAAAAAGACUUUGUGUGCAUUGGGGCUGAGUUAUGAGAAAAUGCACGCAUGCCCCAAUGAUUGCAUCUUGUAUAGGAAGGAGUAUGAGGAUUCAACUAAUUGUCCUACUUGUGGUAUCUCAAGGUGGAAGGAAGGCAAAGAUUCAAUCUUGAAAGAGGGUGUGCCAGCGAAGGUGGUGUGGUAUUUUCCUCCAAUUCCAAGGUUUAAAAGGAUGUUUCAAUCACAUGAGAUAGCUAAGAGUUUGACUUGGCAUGCUGCUAGAAAAUCAAUUGACGGUCAGAUGUCUCAUCCGGCGGAUUCCCCGUCUUGGAAACUUCUUGAUGAUAAAUGGCCUGAGUUUGGUAAUGAGCCGAGAAACUUGAGAUUGGCUCUUUCAUCUGAUGGAUUCAAUCCCCACAGUUCUCUAAGUAGCAGAUAUAGUUGUUGGCCGGUUAUCUUAGUUACAUAUAAUCUCCCUCCAUGGAUGUGCAUGAAACGAAAGUUCAUGAUGUUAACCUUAUUGAUUUCCGGUCCUAAACAACCCAGAAAUAAUAUAGACGUCUACUUGGAGCCUUUUAUUGAUGAUUUAAAAUCUUUGUGGGAUGGGAUUAGAGGAGUGUAUGAUGCACAUAAUGGAGAAUACUUUACACUCAGAGCUGCAUUAAUAUGGACAAUUAAUGAUUUCCCCGCCUAUGGAAACUUAUUUGGUUGUGUUGUUAAAGGAUAUAAAGCUUGUCCAAUAUGCGGCGAUGAUACACCUAGUCACAGGUUGAAAAAUGGCCACAAAAUUUGUUACAUUGGGCAUAGAAAAUGGUUACCAAUCAAUCAUCCAUAUAGGAGGCAACGUGCAGCUUUUAAUGGGAAACCUGAAUAUGGCAUACCUCCCGAGCCAUUAACCGGAGAAGAAGUGCUGCAUAUGGUUGAAAAUGGUGACAGAGUUUGUUGGAAGAAGAAAUCAAUAUUCUUUGAUCUCGAGUAUUGGAAAUACCUUCCUGUGAGGCAUGCCCUAGAUGUUAUGCACAUUGAGAAGAAUGUUUGCGAUAGUAUCAUUGGUACAUUGCUGGAGAUCCCUGGAAAAAAUAAAGAUGGGAUUGCUGCUCGAUUAGAUUUAUUGAACAUGAAGGUCAAAACUGAUUUGCAACCCGAGUAUGGAGAAAGACGUACUCGUUUGCCUCCUGGGCCUUGGAAUUUGUCAAGAGCAGAGAAGAGAGAGGUUUGCAAUUCUUUCUAUGGUAUGAAGGUCCCUGAAGGUUAUUCUUCAAAUAUUAAAAAACUUGUAUCUUUACAAGAUUCAAGACUUCUUGGCCUUAAAUCACAUGAUUGUCAUACCUUAAUGCAACAAUUGCUCCCUGUGGCAAUUCGUUCUGUUUUGGAGAAGCCUGCAAGGUAUGCAAUAACUCGUUUGUGCUUCUUCUUCAAUGCUAUAUGUGCAAAGACUGUUGAUGUUUCCAAGCUAGAUAAGUUGGAAGAAGAUGUAGUAGUUACUCUAUGUUUGCUUGAGAAGUACUUUCCUCCUUCAUUCUUUGAUAUCACGGUUCAUCUAGUAGUACAUCUUGUCAGAGAAGUUCGUCUAUGUGGGCCAGUAUAUUUUAGGUGGAUGUAUCCGUUUGAAAGAUAUAUGAAAGUACUGAAGGGGUAUGUUCAGAAUCGUACUCGUCCCGAAGGUUGCAUUGCUGAGCGGUAUAUAGCUGAAGAAGCGGUAGAGUUUUGUACUCAGCAUUUAUCUGAUGUUAGUACAGUUGGAGUGCCUUCAAGCCAAAAGAUGGGACUUUCAAAGCCAUUAUCAUGUUGCACAGUGAGCGUAGUUGAUCAGGACCUGUUGAAUCAAGCACAUCUAUAUGUCUUGGAGAAUACGGAGGAAGUCCUACCUUAUAUCGAGUACGUAUGAGUUUUAUUCUUUAAGUUUCCAUUUUAAAUUAUUUCUUAUGUUUAUCUUCUAUAUUUGGGACCGUAAUGCUUGAAUUUUUCGUGUCAUGUAGGCAACAUAUGAUCCACAUCAAGACUGCUUAUCCAAAAUUUAGAAAGAGAACAAAGUGGCUGCAGGAUAAGCACAAUAGCACUUUCAUUCAAUGGCUACGCUUCAAGGUAUAUGUUGUUGAAUAACAUAUUUGUCUUUUAAUUUUCUUCUUAUUUCUAUAUUAGAUUGAAUUAAGAUAUGAUUAAUUUGCAGGUUCAAAGUGAACUUGAGGAAGACAAUCAUGGCGUAUCAGAAAAUUUAAGGUGGCUAGCAGCUGGUCCAAACAUGGCAGUGCCAUUAUAUAGGAGCUAUCUUAUUAAAGGUAUUAAAUUCAAUAUCAAGGCACAAGAUGAUGUGCGGACACCUCAAAAUAGUGGAGUUUAUUUACUUGCACAUACCAUGCAAGUUGCUAGUGCCAAGGAUAAAAACUCAAUUCUCUCAAAUAUGGGUUUCUAUGGUGUCAUUCAAGAAAUUUGGGACCUUGACUACCAAAAGUUUACAAUCUCAGUCUUUAGGUGUGAUUGGAUAGAUAGUUCUGGUCUUGUAGUCGACGAACUUGGAUUUACCCCUGUAGAUUUGAGUAAAAUUGGACAUAGGAAUGACCAAUUUGUUUUGGCUUCUCAAGUCAAACAAAUAUUUUUUGUUGACGACCCGAUGCAUCGUGGUUGGUCGGUAGUGUUAUCAAUGCCUAAUAGAGAAUAUAAUGAUGUUAUUGGUGAUGAAGUCUUAGGUGAUGUGAUAAUUGAGUGUUAGCCAUUUACAAGAGGGAUGCCAAAUGUUGACACAUUUGAUGAACUGGUGGGUGAGUUAGGUGGUCAAAAUAUUCGAGAUGGGUGUGAAGAUAUAUGGAUUGAAUGAUGCUUAUGUAAUUGGCAGUGUAUGACAUUAAUUUUGUAAUAUAUUGUAAUGUGAUUUCUUCACUUUCUACGUUCAAAUAAAACACGACGUUAUUGUGAACCAGUUAUUCAGCAUAUUUACCGACGUCUUAAAGCAACGUAACAAUGAAGAACCACGACGCUAUUGUGAAGCAAUUAUUCAGGAUAUCACGUCGGGGAAGGAUUAAGAAUCGCCAUGUAAUUCAAAAUAACACGACUCCAAUCCCAUAAUACCGACGUCUAAAAAACGAGAUAUAUAAUCUGAACGUUAAAAAUACGACGUCAUCAUACAUUUUCCACGUCGCAAGUUCUUUUAUAAACGAAGAGGAACGAAAUGAAUUCCGAUGGUAAUUCAUUAUAACCGCCGUCUAAUAUCAAUUAAACGACGUUAUUUGUAAUACGGCUCUCAUCAUAAUCAACGCCGUCUAUAUGUUCUGUAAUACGGCUCUCAUUUAUUUGGAACCGACGUUGUUUAGAAGUUCAACGUCGUCUAUAUUAAUAAGUGCGUUGUGAGUAAUGAAUACAUAUAAAUACAACGUCGACUAUAUAAAUGCCACCGACGUUGUUUUGCAUUUCAACGUCAACUAUAUAAAUACAUACGUCGUAAAUAAUGACACUGACAACUAUUUCUACGUCAUCUUUUUUAGAAAAAUCGAAGUGGAAAAUUUAUUUCACGACGGUUGUUUGUAAAUAAGAGACGUAGUAGAUUUCAAUAACGUCGUCUUCUCAUGUAUUUAAAGACGUCAUAUUUUUUCUUGUCGUAAAAAUUACAUUUAACGGCGUAGUGUUUUAGUUGUCGUCGUUGUAUGUCUAUCUUGCGGCCUUGUUCUUUUAAUAUGUGUCAUAUUUUUCCCUUUUAACGACGGUGAUUUGUUUGAGUUGGUCGUCUAUUCUCAUCCUCGACUAUUUUUUAGAACUUUAGCAGACUAAACACGUCUGUUUUUAUUUGUUUUCGACGUUUUUUUAUUUAACAACGUCUAAUAUUUAUCGUCGUUGUUUGUUUCUGAAAAUAGGACGUAUACAUUUUGUAAUACGACUCUCAUAUAUUUGUAAUCGACGUUGUUUCGUUGUUCAACGUCUACUCUAUAAAUACAUACGUCGUAAAUAAUGACACUGACAACUAUUUCCACGUCAUCUUUUAUAGAAAAAUCGAAGUGAAAAAUUUAUUUUACGACGGUUGUUUUUAUAUAGGCGACGUAGUAGGUAUCAAUAACGUCGUCUUCUAAUGUAUUUAAAGACGUCAUAUUUUUUAUUGUCGUGAAAAUGAUAUUUAACGGCGUCUUGUUUUAAUUUUCGUCGUUCUAUGUCUAUCUUGCGGCCUUGUUCUGUUAAUAUGUGUCAUAUUUUUCCUUUUUAACGACGGUUUUUUUAGAGAGUUGGUCGUCUAUUCUCUUCCUCGACUGCUUUUUUAGAUCUUUUUGCAGUACAAAGACGUCGUUUUGUAUUUGUUGAUGACGUUGUAUAUUUUAACAACGACGGUGAUUUAGCGUCGUGGUUUAUGAGGGAAAAGAUGACGGUGGAUUCCACGACCAUUGAAAAACCGAAUACACGACAGUGAUUUACCAUCGUCUUUUUUCUUUUUUGUAGUAGUGGUAGUGGAAAUUCUCAAUUAUUAUUUCUAUAUCAAUAAUGUAUUAUGUUAUAUUAUUAAUCCUAUUAUGAUAUUUUCACGAGAAAUAGCUCAAAAUACCACCUAUUUUAUAAUUUUUUGUGAAAAUACCACAUUUUCCCAAAAUUUUUAAAACUACCACCUAUAAAUACAUCUUUAUUGUCCACUAAUUGCACCCAUAUCACAUUUUCAUAAAUUUGGUUCUCUCUCAGCUCGCUCAGCCCCCUUUUCUCUCUCUGUCUAUCUCUCUGUCUCUCUCUACUCUCUCUCUCUAGCGCAGCUUUCUGUCUUUCUCUUUGCUCUAGCGCAGCUCUCUGUCUCUCUCUUUGCUCUAGCGCAGAUCUGUGUCUCUCUGUGCUCUCUCUCUCUAGCGAUGUCUGUUCAUCGAAGCUUAACUCCUCUGUUCACAUCCAAAAGGUACGGUUCAUCAUCAUUUUCUUUGGGUUUAUGGGUUUCUUUGAAGUUGGUUUAGGGUAUAUAGUUUCUAUGAAAUUGGUUUGGGGGUUUCUUCGAAAUUGGUUUAGGGUUUAGGGGUUUCUCUGAAAUUGGUAUAGGGUUUAUGGGUUUCUAUGAAAUUAGUUUAGGGGUUUCCAUGAAUUUGGUUUAGGGUUUAUGGGUUUCUCUGAAAUUGUCUGAUUAUGAUGAUUCCUUGUUUGAAACAGUGAAGGAGUGUGAUCUUUAUUCUUUGUUCUUUGUUUGAAACUGUUGUUAUUUUGUUGUUGUUAUUGGUAUCGUAUUGCAAUUUUAUUACUAUUUUAUUAUGGUUUUAUUCCCGUUCCAUUGUGGUUUUAAUGGUUUUGGCGAUUUAUGCAAUUGGAUUCUGUGUUUGUUUGUUGUUUUGUUUCAUCCAAAGAAGGAAAAUUGUAGGUAUUCAUUUAUAGUCUCUUCAUUAGGCACCCUUCGAAGAUCACAUAUUACCGACUCAAGCUUGCGAUUGAGGCUUUAAGGGGGGAGGCAUAUAUAUGAGGUAAAUAUGAUUAUGUCAGUGAAUUGAGUUCAGUCUUCACUUAUCACUUGGGAAUUCACUGUGCUCCUUAAUUAUGUCAGGAAAUCUUUUAUAUGAAGAUGCAGACAUCGAAGCUGUGCUGGAGGUGCUUUAUAUGGUCAUCCAUCCAUUUUGAUAGAGCUAUUUGGUUUUUGUAUUCUGUGUAGCAAGGUGAAAUAAUUUCCAGGGUCUUCGGCCAUGUUGUAUAUUGUGAAAUGUAAUAUUGUACAGUCGAUGGUGGUGGCUAAUUGCCUUACAUGGCACAUAAACUGUUUCCAUUUUUGGGUUUUGUUUUCGAGUUGCAAUCGUGGUUAGCAUACUUAUUCUUUAGAUUGUGAAGUUCAACUACUUUGUACUGCUAGAUAUAUAAACAUACUUGCUCUUUAUGGAGGUAUAACAGUUUACUUGUUUGAAACGACUUGUUCGUUUCCACUGACUUCUACUCUUUUUUGUAUCCAUUUUUGACAUUUGGUCCGUGUAGUUUUCUUCAUUUUUCUGUGCUCAAUCCAAUCAUAUACAUAACACAAAAUUUGCAUAAUGGGUAGAAAACUUAAAGGUCAAAAAAUGGACAUAUGGCAAAACUGAAAAACAGAGGAAGUGCAUAAUUCGUUUUUGCCUAAAAUGCAAUAAAAUAGUGAUACCUUGGUGAUACAGUAGCGAUAUAGUAGCGAUAAAAGGGUGCUAGAAAUUGCUGUUUGUGUUUAUUUUGGGUUUCUUGUUUUCUUUCAUUUCAUUUACUUAUCUUGACUCAUUACUAGUUAAUAAUUGGAGGAUUACGAGAUUAAUUUGUGUCAAUUAUUAAUACAAGAAUUACAUAUAUGAAGAUUAAGCCGAACAACAUCCAUAUUUUAGAUAUGCAAAAUAAAUCGCCACCGAACCCUAACAAUACUAUCCCGUGAAGGGAAAACCAAGGCUACACUUUCAUAUCGCUUCAUAAAAAAUUUGACAUCAUCAUCGUCCUCAAUCUUUAUGUGCUUCCACUCAUUCGAGGCCACCAAAACUGAGAAUUUUAAGCAAACAUUGUCUUCACUGCAGUUUGUAUUACCAAUCUGAUGCACACGAUCUAACAGUAUCGUGGAACUAUUAAGCCUUUUGAGUCACCCCCUUCGUAUUUGCACAUCUUCUUUGAGGUUAUCCGUUUUCCAUUAUAACAAACCAGAAUAACAAUUGUCUCCAUUUCUGACCAUGACAAAACAACAUUUUAUUACCACAGUACAACCACAAUAACCAGGCAAUAAGCAGACAAUACAGUAGCAAUAUAAAUGCAAUAUAACCACAAUAUAAUAGCAAUAUAAUAGCAACAUAACAACAAUACGACAACAAAAUAAUAGGAACACAACAGCAUCCACUACAUCAAAUGAAAAAUCCCAAGUUUCAAGAUUCACAUAUCCAGAUCAAUCUAAAUAUAAUUGGUAAAAACCCAGAUGGAUAAGCAUGAAGAUUCAAAAAACCUAAUCGAAAGCAAUUAAACCCAAAACCAAUUUAACAGAAACCCAAGCAAUCAAAACAAAACAAAUUUCACAUAAUCCCACAGAUAUUAAGAAAAUAACCAUCAACCCUACCUUUUCGAGGUCGACGAUCCAGUAGAGCUUCAAGGUUGCAAGUAGCUAUUCAGAAGACAUAUCUAAAAUAUAGGGUCGAGCAAGGGGUUCGUGAUUCAGAAUAGAGAGCGAGACAGAGUUGCGCGUGUGAGAGAGAGAGAGAGAGAGAGAGAGAGAGAGAGAGAGAGAGAGAGAGAGCUGCACUAGAGAGAGAGAGCAAACAGAGACAGAAAAACAGAGAGAGAAAAAAAGGGGCUGAGUGAGUUGAGAGAGAACUAAAUUUCUGAAAAUGUGAUAUGGGUGUAAUCAGUGGACAAUAAAGAUAUAUUUAUAGAUGAUAGUUUUAAAAUUUUUGAAAAAAAAUAAUAUUUUUACAAAAAAUUAUAAAAUGAACGGUAUUUUGAGCUAUUUCCCUAUUUUCACCGGAUUCAAUCCUCUUUCUAUAGAUAACGACGAAGCCCACUAGCACGCAUGAUUAUGUACAGGAGGCCGACAGAAGAAUAUAAGUAUAGAUGACGACAAAAACCCGCACCAGCCGCCCCGUGAGCCCGAGUGGGUCCGUCGCCAAUAAAAGCUGAAGACUUUGGGGUGAACAAGCUAUAUAGAUAGCACUGAGCAAUAAUUGAAGAGAGAGAAAGCUGAACAAAAGAGAGACGGAGGAGAUACUUUCACACUAGGACUUUUAAACUCCACUUAACUUUUUUCAUUUCUCUAGCGUGUCACACACGCUAAACAAUUACCAACCUUUUGUGGCCUUUUAAUUACAAUGCAAUUCAAACUAAAUUUGCCUAUAUAAUGGGGGACGCGUGCCAGCACGAUUCAAAGUCAAAAGUCAAGUGCCAAUGGCGAAGAAUUUUCCUGAUGACCGUCAGCCUCCGCAGAAUUUGGGGAAGGUCCCUAAGGUGCAGAUCCAGAAGCAAGAAGGAAGCAUCACGGUGAAUGUACGUGGGAAUGAUAUUCAAGCACCAAAUGCCAAAGACAUUGGGGUUUCCAACUUUAACAACAUAACUGAUCACACCGGCCAUGGCGGCGAAGGAUGCACAGCCGUCACCAAUCGUGAAUACAACUUUGAUAACAAUAAAAUUGUUGGACCAGGAAGUGAGCGUGUUGGGAUCCAUAACUUUAACAACCGUACACUCCUCAAGAAUUCGAAUGACGAAGACGAUGCAUGCAGCAGCGGGAUGGUCGAGUGAUCAAGGCUAUAUAAUCUGUUCUUCCAUUCCAUGCUUUAAAGUUUAACUUUAAUGUGUAUUAGGUAAUUCGGAAAAUAAGAGCUGAUACAAAGGCUGAGGGCUUGUAGGGCUCUUUUUAUGUAUAAUUAAGAAUGUAGAAUUAUUGUUAUUAUCAUUACUAUUAUUACUCAGACUAUAUUAAUUCCUAUGACAAUCCUUUUAAGCAAAUCUGCCCAGAAACGGAAACAGAACAUUGACAAUGAAAAGAAAAUCCAUUCAAAGUUGUCUUCUUCAUUGGGUCAAGAUCAAAUGAACAACUGUUACUUUUCUUCUCGUUCUAAUUGGGUCAAGAUUCAAAUUUGUCUUCUCGUUCCAAAAAUUUGACAAGUUAUGAGUGUUUGUUUUCAUUUUAAAGUGUACGUAUUUUAACUAAAGAAAAAGAACGAUUCUGGCAUACAACGAC